rnacentral:rRNA from 1 species
AUGGAGCCUCUUCACUACCCAGUCAUGGCGCCGGCGGAGGUUGAGCUGCCGGCCCCGGCGGCCUCAAGUGCAGACGGCCAAAUCUGUGUUGACGGCGCCGCUCCAGAGCCGGCCAGUGCAGACAAGGGUCAAGGUUCAGAGCACUCUAUAGAGCAAGUGGAUCCAAAAACUCCGGGGUGGACGCAAAGCUCCUUGCCCUCACAGGAUCUCAGCCCUGGAGAGAUCAGUCCGGCGAUUUGCAGAAAAAACAGGAGACUUUGUCAUUGUGCAAAGAUAGGAACAAGUUUCGACACACUUGGUGAGGCGUACGAUUUUUACAAUUUAUAUUCGUGGGCGAAAGGAUUCGGUAUUAGGUAA